rnacentral:ncRNA from 2 species
AAUAGAUUAUAUGACUGGCGGAUAAAUAUGGAUUUAACCAUAGGGGAAUAUAAUCUUUAAUUAAUCGCCCGCCUGGAUAUUAGAA